CUGGCUGUUCGGUGAUGCAAGUGUUCAACGUUUGCACACUGACAGUAAAAGCAAUCUGAAACAGGAAAUCCACAAAAAUGGCAGCAAUGUGCUACAAAAUUUCUAUAAACUCUAAUAUCAAUACCAAUGGCCUACUUUCACCUCCCCCAAACAAAUUACACUCACAUCUUUUACUCUCAAAUCAAAAAUUUUGUGGCCGCAGGACCCUUGCAAGUCCACCUUUUUCAUUGAUACGAAGUAAAAAAUGUUGGCAUGGAUCACUUCGAGUUUCGAAUUCGAGUCAGUCUUCGGCGUCUAACUCCUUCGAUGUUGUCAUAGUUGGUGCCGGAAUCAUUGGAUUGACCAUCGCACGCCACUUGCUCCUUGCCUCAGAUCUCUCCGUCGCCCUAGUUGAUGCUGCUGUUCCUUGCUCUGGCGCAACUGGAGCAGGUCAAGGAUACAUAUGGAAAGCACACAAAACACCCGGUACUGAGAAAUGGGACUUAAUGAUGAGAAGCCACCAAUUAUGGGAGAGCCUAGCCAAGAGAAUUCAACUUCAAGGGAUGGAUCCUUUAGAGGUACUUGGCUGGAAGAAAACAGGAAGCCUUUUAGUAAGUAAAACAACAGAUGAGUCAGCAAUAUUAAAAAGGAGGGUGGAGGAGCUAUCACAGGAGGGAUUGAGAGCUGAGUUCUUGUCCUCCAAUGACUUGCUAUCAGAAGAACCGGAACUUGUGGUUGAGAAGGAAGGUGGGGCAGCUUUUUUCCCGGAUGAUUACCAAUUAGACGCUCAUCGUACUGUUGCAUUUAUUGAGAAGGGUAACAGGCAUUUUGCUGUGGAAGGGAGAUAUGCUGAAUUUUAUCAUGAACCCGCUAUUGGAUUAGUUAGACAUGGAAAUAGCUGCGAGGUUGGAGCUAUUCAAACUUCCAAGAAUACAUUGCACAGUAAGAAGGCUGUUGUGAUUGCAGCAGGUUGUUGGACUGGGUCUUUGAUGCACGACCUGAUUAAGCAACCAGAUAUUGACCUCGACCUUCCCAUAAAGCCUCGAAAGGGUCACUUGCUUGUGAUAGAGAAUUUCAAGUCAUUCAAGCUGAAUCAUGGAAUUAUGGAGGCAGGUUAUACCAAGCAUCAGUCGGCAACCCUUAAAGCUACUUCAUCUGAUUCAGGGCCUGUCUAUAAUGCACAAGAUUUGUCUGUUUCAAUGACGGCAACUAUGGAUGCAUCAGGCAAUCUCGUCCUUGGGAGUAGCCGACAACUUGUUGGGUUUAACACAGAGGUAGAUGAAUCUGUCAUCAACCACAUAUGGCAGCGGGUUGGAGAGUUCAUACCUGCUUUAAGACAUGAAUCUCUUGAAGAUUUGCGUGAAAGCAGAGAAGUUAGAAUAGGACUUAGACCUUACAUUCCUGACGGGAAGCCUGUCAUUGGGCUUGUUCCUGGAUUUUCAAACGUCUUUCUUGCUGCGGG
rnacentral:misc_RNA from 1 species